GAUGAACGCUAGCGGGAGGCUUAACACAUGCAAGUCGAGGGGCAGCAUAGGGUAGCAAUACUCUGAUGGCGACCGGCAAACGGGUGAGUAACGCGUAUGCAACCUACCCUGUACAGGGGGAUAACCCGGAGAAAUUCGGACUAAUAUCCCGUAAUAAUAUCCGGAGGCAUCUUUGGAUAUUUAAAGUUUCGACGGUACGGGAUGGGCAUGCGUAACAUUAGCUGGUUGGUAAGGUAACGGCUUACCAAGGCUAUGAUGUUUAGGGGUCCUGAGAGGGUGGUCCCCCACACUGGUACUGAGACACGGACCAGACUCCUACGGGAGGCAGCAGUGAGGAAUAUUGGUCAAUGGGCGCAAGCCUGAACCAGCCAUCCCGCGUGCAGGAAGAAGGCCUUCGGGUUGUAAACCGCUUUUGUCAGGGAAGAAACGGGUUUCUCUAAUACAGAGACCUAAUGACGGUACCUGAAGAAUAAGCACCGGCUAACUACGUGCCAGCAGCCGCGGAAACACGAGAGUA
rnacentral:rRNA from 1 species